GUAAAUAUAGUUUAACCAAAACACUAGAUUGUGAUUCUAAUAUUAGAAGGACAAAACUUCUUAUUUACC
rnacentral:tRNA from 1 species